AAAACUUUCAACAACGGAUCUCUUGGCUCUGGCAUCGAUGAAGAACGCAGCGAAAUGCGAUAAGUAAUGUGAAUUGCAGAAUUCAGUGAAUCAUCGAAUCUUUGAACGCACAUUGCGCCCGCCAGCACUCUGGCGGGCAUGCCUGUCCGAGCGUCA
rnacentral:rRNA from 1 species